GAUUUCAAAUGGGAAUAUGGUCAGCAACAAAGUUGAUCCUCUCAUCAGGAUCUACAACUUUUAUUUUGGUCACUUCUUCAUCCGACAAAAGAUAGUUAUACUAUUCACAUAAUCACAUUUCUCUCAUCUGGUUUAUAAAUAUCAACACUGAUAUGUCAAUUUUGUAAACAUUGGUACUAUCACUUUGUCGGAUGAAGAAGUGAACAAAAUAAUAGUUGUAGAUCCUGAUGAGAGGAUCAACUUUGUUUUUGACCAUAUUCCCAUUUGAAAUC
rnacentral:pre_miRNA from 1 species